GACGAACGCUGGCGGCGUGCUUAACACAUGCAAGUCGAGCGGUAAGGCCCUUUCGGGGGUACGACGAGCGGCGAACGGGUGAGUAACACGUGGGUGACCUGCCCUUAGCUCUGGGAUAAGCCUGGGAAACUGGGUCUAAUACCGGAUAUGACUCCAUAACGCAUGUUGUGGGGUGGAAAGCCUUGUGCGGCUAGGGAUGGGCCCG
rnacentral:rRNA from 1 species